GUCUUUUUAGAAUAUAAAUAAAGUCUAACCUGCCCAUUGAAAUAAUUUUAAAGGCUGCGGUAUUUUGACCGUACAAAGGUAGCAUAAUCAUUAGUUUUUUAAUUGAAAACUUGUAUGAAUGGUUGAAUGAGAAAUUAACUUUUUUAAAUAUAUAUAUUAUAAAACUUUACUUUUUAGUAAAAAGGCUAAGAUUAUAUUAUAAGACGAGAAGACCCUAUAGAGUUUAAUAAAUAAUUAUAUUUAAUGUUAUAAAGGUUUAUUUAUUAAUAUUAUAAAUGAAUUUAUUUUGUUGGGGUGAUAAUAAAAUUUAAAUAACUUUUAUUUACAUAUUUUUACAUUUAUAAAUGAAUAUUUGAUCCAUAAUUUAUGAUUAAAAAUUUAAAUUACCUUAGGGAUAACAGCGUAAUUUUUUUUUGAGUUCUUAUU
rnacentral:rRNA from 1 species